ACACAUGCAAGUCGAGGGGCAUCAGUUUGGUUUGCUUGCAAACCAAAGCUGGCGACCGGCGCACGGGUGAGUAACACGUAUCCAACCUGCCUCAUACUCGGGGAUAGCCUUUCGAAAGAAAGAUUAAUAUCCGAUAGCAUAUACUUCCCGCAUGGGUUUUAUAUUAAAGAAAUUCGGUAUGAGAUGGGGAUGCGUUCCAUUAGUUUGUUGGGGGGGUAACGGCCCACCAAGACUACGAUGGAUAGGGGUUCUGAGAGGAAGGUCCCCCACAUUGGAACUGAGACACGGUCCAAACUCCUACGGGAGGCAGCAGUGAGGAAUAUUGGUCAAUGGACGCGAGUCUGAACCAGCCAAGUAGCGUGAAGGAUGACUGCCCUAUGGGUUGUAAACUUCUUUUAUAUGGGAAUAAAGUGGUCCACGUGUGGACUUUUGUAUGUACCAUAUGAAUAAGGAUCGGCUAACUCCGUGCCAGCAGCCGCGGUAAUACGGAGGGUCCGAGCGUUAUCCGGAUUUAUUGGGUUUAAAGGGAGCGUAGGCGGAUUGUUAAGUCAGUUGUGAAAGUUUGCGGCUCAACCGUAAAAUUGCAGUUGAUACUGGCAGUCUUGAGUGCAGUAGAGGUGGGCGGAAUUCGUGGUGUAGCGGUGAAAUGCUUAGAUAUCACGAAGAACUCCGAUUGCGAAGGCAGCUCACUGGAGUGUAACUGACGCUGAUGCUCGAAAGUGUGGGUAUCAAACAGGAUUAGAUACCCUGGUAGUCCACACAGUAAACGAUGAAUACUCGCUGUUUGCGAUAUACAGUAAGCGGCCAAGCGAAAGCAUUAAGUAUUCCACCUGGGGAGUACGCCGGCAACGGUGAAA
rnacentral:rRNA from 1 species